UGGUUUACUACUGUGUGUAUAACUGUUUGCUAAAUAUCUGUCAAAUUGUAGUUUUCAGGUAUAUGAGAAUUAGAGACAUGGGAACAUAAGUUGUCUAUUGACAAUAAAAUAAAGAACUAUAUUUGAUGUGCAACAAGUACCAAUUACAAACUAUCAAACAUAGAUCAACUGCAAUAAAGUUGACAAACUACAAUAAACUCAUUAUAGAUACCAG
rnacentral:lncRNA from 1 species